rnacentral:pre_miRNA from 1 species
UUAAAAAUAAGUGACCAUAGUUGGUCGCUAACUUCAAGAAAUAAUUUUUUUUUAAUUAUAAGCGACCAACUUUGGUCGCUAUAUUUUCAGAAA